rnacentral:rRNA from 1 species
GGGGACGAUAACGGCGUCGAGCGGCGGACGGGUGAGUAAUGCCUAGGAAAUUGCCCUGGUGUGGGGGAUAACCAUUGGAAACGAUGGCUAAUACCGCAUAAUACCUACGGGUCAAAGAGGGGGACCUUCGGGCCUCUCGCGUCAGGAUAUGCCUAGGUGGGAUUAGCUAGUUGGUGAGGUAAUGGCUCACCAAGGCGACGAUCCCUAGCUGGUCUGAGAGGAUGAUCAGCCACACUGGAACUGAGACACGGUCCAGACUCCUACGGGAGGCAGCAGUGGGGAAUAUUGCACAAUGGGCGCAAGCCUGAUGCAGCCAUGCCGCGUGUGUGAAGAAGGCCUUCGGGUUGUAAAGCACUUUCAGUCGUGAGGAAGGUGGUGGUGUUAAUAGCUCUAUCAUUUGACGUUAGCGACAGAAGAAGCACCGGCUAACUCCGUGCCAGCA